rnacentral:rRNA from 1 species
GAGUGAUGAAGGUCUUCGGAUCGUAAAACUCUGUUAUUAGGGAAGAACAAAUGUGUAAGUAACUAUGCACGUCUUGACGGUACCUAAUCAGAAAGCCACGGCUAACUACGUGCCAGCAGCCGCGGUAAUACGUAGGUGGCAAGCGUUAUCCGGAAUUAUUGGGCGUAAAGCGCGCGUAGGCGGUUUUUUAAGUCUGAUGUGAAAGCCCACGGCUCAACCGUGG